CCUACGGGAGGCAGCAGUGGGGGAUAUUGCACAAUGGGGGGAACCCUGAUGCAGCGACGCCGCGUGGGUGAUGAAGUAUUUCGGUAUGUAAAGCUCUGUCAGCAGGGAAGAAAGUAAUGACGGUACCUGACUAAGAAGCCCCGGCCAACUCCGUGGCAGCCGCGGCGGUAAUACGGAGGGGGCCAGUGUUAUCCGUCAUUACUGGGUGUAAAGGGAGCGUAGACGGUUUAGUAAGUCUGGUGUGAAAGGCCGUGGCCCAACCCAAGGACUGCUCUAGAUACUAUUGAACUUGAGUGCAGGAGAGGUAAGUGGAAUUCCUAGUGUAGCGGUGAAAUGCGUAGAUAUUAGGAGGAACACCAGUGGCGAAGGCGGCUUACUGGAAUGUAACUGACGUUGAGGCUCGAAAGCGUGGGGAGCAAACAGGAUUAGAUACCCGAGUAGUC
rnacentral:rRNA from 1 species